CAGUCCGGGCAAGCGGGCGGUGUCCCUGUCCGUGGCGGGAAAGGGUUUGGGCUGGAUGUUCGCUAAGGUCCGGUCCACGCCUUUAACAUCCUGUGGUUCCGCGAUCCCGCCGUGUGGAUCCGCAGCGAUCCGUGUGGUUCCUCAGCCGCCCGACCCCCGUCGUGCUCCUUGGAGCAAGUCCUGCCUCGGCAGUCCGGACAUGUGCUCGUCUGGAGCAGUCGAGUGAUUUCUGCCCUUCUCGGAGGAAUUAGAAAUGGUCCCGGGUUGUUAAUGUGGGAAAUCGGGAUUUUUUGACAUGGCUGGUCAAAGCAAUGGCUGUAAUCUCAGGAACUGCAGGGAUGGUUUCGGGUGCUUUUCUAAACAGCCAAAGCUGUCACUUGAACGAGGAGGGAUUGUCACACUGCUGUGGCUGUGCCUGUGUUCCCCUGGGCGCUGGGGUGGCACAGUUGAGGCUGACACUCCGGGCACAGGAUGCCCAGGAGAGCCGGUGCCGUGGGAGACGAGAUGGACCUAAUUACUGAGUGCCACUUGGAGCUGUCUCUUGGCUCAUCAAGUCUUGAAAGGAAUGACAGCUUGGACAUUCAGAGACACUUGGUUUUGCUGACAGAUCGUUUUCAUCAGCAAAUGCCUGUCAUAAUUCAAAAGAUAAAUUACCUUUUUUUUUCCUUUAGGGAAUUGGGCAAGGGCUGAGGUGACCCAGACUAUGCCCUUGUUUGGGUUAUAGGCACGGAUCCAAACUGGUGGGGUCUGGCAGGGACAGGGCCCCAGGAGUAUCAGCAGCCUCUGGGAUAAUGCUCUCCUGCCUUACAGACUGUGGUGUGUGUGCUGAGCUCAGUUCAGCUGGUGGUAAAACAUCAGUGAGUUCCCCAGAGUGUCCCAUGUGAGCUGGGGUUAAAGGCUGCACCCUGCCAGGGUGCUCCUCUCCCUGGCUUGGCUGGUCAUUAGGAGCACUGUACUUGUCCUGCAAUUAGUCAUUGGAGCUUGUUGUAUGAAAAUGGUCAUGCCUCUGCUUAACCUUGAUCUCAGCUGAUGCUCUGUCCCAGGUAAUUACAAGGAGAGCAUGGGGUUCCUGUUUCUUGGACUGGCUUACUGUUCCCAAAGAAGUGUUAAUGUUUUCUGCUGCUGGCUCAGCAAUGGAGCUGUCUGAAUCAAAUAUAUUCUUUUCAUUGUUUUAGGCAAAAAGUGAAGGUCAAGAUGAGUUUGCUGCUGGCUUUGGGAAUCCUCAGUCUGGACUCUGCCAUGCCUUGCAAGCAGAAAGAUGCCACGUGAAUUCUGGGGCUACAGAAGUUCUGUGACAUCAGAUGAUCACCUCCACUGUCUUCCAGCCUUGUGCCAGCAGGAGAGCCCAUCCACUUGUGGAAGUGUGGGUGUUUAAGGAGCUUGAAAGCAGCAGCCUGGAAGGUGGAGUUCUAAUGCACUUGGAAAUGCUUCCAUUGCCCUUCCUGCUCGUCAGAAAUCCUGCUUGGUUCCACAGUACGGCAGGGAGUAGCUGUUCGCUGAAAAUUAAUAAUCCUGGAAUGAAGUUUGGGGCAGAGUGUCACUCUAGAAAGAGAAGCGGCCUUCUGGGCAGUCUGAAGACUUAGUAUCAAUUUUUGAGUGUAUCAAAUAAAUGGAUCAAAAGUGAAUAAGGCAAAGAUUAAAAUGUGGGAAAACUUGGUGCUGUCUAAAUGAGUGUUUACAGUGUUAGUAGUAGGUAUGAAAUAAAAUCUUGGAUUUCUGUU